rnacentral:lncRNA from 1 species
UCUCAGCUUCGGUCAUUUGAUCAAGUUUUUUGUAAAUCAUGGAUACAAAAUGUUUAUGGUUGGCAAACAAUUUGAGCUGUUCAUUGUCUAACAUUUUUGUUUAUGGUUGGCAAACAUUUUGUAAAUCGUGUAUACAACAAACCAGAAACUUAGGGAUCCUAGUCAUUGACUUAACUUGCUCAUGCAUUUACUAUUUAUAGUUAUCUUACUCUCACAAGCCAAACAAAACAAAAAUACUAUAGACUCUGAUGCAUUUUACUUAUUUAUCAUGACCCUAGUCACUGAUUAACUAGCUGUGUUAGGGAAUACACACUUGUUAUGAGCCUCAUGUAUGAGUAGAUGCAAAUGAUACCACAAGAAGUAAAAUUGAGCCACAAAACGAAUAUAACAAUCAAUGCAUGUGACAAGACAGAUGAAACAUAUUGAAGCUCUAAGCAAACAUAGACUCUAAGCAAGAGAGGUAAAAAAAAAAAAGGAGGAGAACACUUUACCUGUUUUAGUUUUGGCAAGAGAAGGCUGUACAACAACAUGCAUCACAGUGACUCCACCCGCAACCUCUCCAAAAGGUGUCUUACACUGACCAACAGUCUUGCUAUUCUCCAAUAUCUUACCCGAACUAAUCAACUUCACUUCGUUUAUCCCCUUCGGAACAACUGUUUUGCCUUUAACCAAAAACACACAAGGAAACAUUAAAUCACACAGACUUUGAUUCAAUCAUCAAAGAUCAUAACUUUCAAUAGAAAAAUCGAAACUUUGAUGAACCGAAGUAACCUUUGGGCCAAUCAGAGACGACCCUUUGCUUCAAAAAGUCGACGGUCGAUGAAGACGAGUAGUGGAAGGGUCCGAUGUCGGAGCCAUCGUAGAGCCUGAAUUUGAUAUCUACCGACUCCUCCUCCGGCAUAUCCGUUGACUUUGAAACUUCGUUAAACGCAAAACCCAGCUCCGAUUACCAAUCGAACAGACUUUUCUGACAAAUCGUUCAGAUCUGAAACAGUUGGAAUCUGCAGCGAAAAAGUGAGAAUCGGAGGUUGCUUGGAACACACAAAAAGUGGAAUAUGAAAAGAGAAUCGGGAGGAAUCAAUUACAGAAUAGUAGGCUCUUCCUCUCUGUGUUUCUUGAGAGUUUCGGCUUCGGAUCUUUUGAUGAGGUGAGGGAAGAGGAAGACGAAAGAUGAAGAGUCCACCAAAUAUCCAACUUCCCUUUUACGAACUUCUCAUCCCCAACUUUCCUUUUUCUUCUCAACUCAACCGACGUCGUUUUCAUCUUCUUCUUCUUCUUCUUUUUUUCUUUUUUUCUUUUUUUUAUUUGUCCUAGUGGAAACGGUGAAACGUUUUAAUCGAGUUGGGAAUUUUACUUUACCCAUCUACAUUUUAACUGUUUCGUUUUAGAUUCAGCUUUGGCGGUAUUGCUGUUAGGCCUUUUUUUUUUUGGUCGACAUGCCAUUUUUAAUUAUGUAGGAGUGUUACGAAUUAACUUAGUUUUCUAGAGAAAAUAAAUGAGAAAUGGCAAGAGAGAAGAUAGGACAAGGGUAACGUUGGAUUAAGAAAAGUCAUUUUCCUUCUUAUUAUUCUGUCUGCUUCUUCUCUCCAUUGGCAUUUUAUCAUUUAUCUUCGACACUUCGAGAGCAACGUUUAGGAAACGACAUCCCCUUGUCACGUCUGAUUUCAUCUUCAAAGUACAAUAAAAUCACUAGUUAUUCAAAAUUGGUUGUAAUUUAUUCAGUUCUACAGACAAUGGAUACACUUUUUCACUUUCUAAUUACACUAAAUGUCACAUUAGAAUUGCUACACAUUUUUUUACUGUCUAAAGACCUUAGCACCCCUCAACUAAAAAAUUUACUCGUACGAAACAAAACAAAAGAAAACACAUUUAACUAGACAACUCUUCUUUGUGUUGCCUUUUAAGAACACUAGAUCUCUCUCUUCUCUAGCUUCAAAACAACAUUUUCCAUUUCAAUCUCAAAUUCAACAACGGAUGAUAGAUGUGUCGUAUACGCCGACAAUAUCAGAUGGGUUGCCUAUGGAUCUUGUGGUCACCGAAAAAUUUGCUCAACGCACGUCGUUCCUCUCUGUUUUGUCCUCUGCGAUCCUCGCUGAUGUAUCUGCAAAUCUGAGUCCCCUGUCAUCUGGGUCACGAAGGUUAUUAUUAGCUUUUCCAUCUUCUUAAUUGCAUCUCUAUUUCCAUCAAUAAUCAAAUAGAUUUUCUUAUAAUUAGCCAUCUUUGUAAUUUGCUUUCAUAUUCUCUCUUUCUUGUAUCAUGAUUUAAAAUUUAAAACUUACAUAUAUGAGAAUCAAACAAGCUAAGAAAAAAAAAAUUAUUUGUAAGAGUCUCUGUUAACGAGAUAGUUACAGACAAGAUACUUGUGGACAAGAGAAUUAUGUUAACAUUUUUAUAAAGAAGCUAUGCAAUUGGCUAUUUGUGUUUCAAGUUUUUGUACAAUCAAGUAGAAGCUCAAGUAUGAAAUGUCUUGGACUUUGUGAACUUACGAACUAUGUAUGAGAGCAUGUAUACUGAUUCAAAGAUAUCUGAAAACUUUCCUAUCAUCUAUAAGACUCAUGGAUGGGUGAUUUGUGGACAGUGUUUUAUGGAUGAAUGUAUAGUGGAUGGGUUAGUGUGUCGUGGAUGGUGUCUCAUGAAUAUGUAUGUGAGUAUUUCAUGGAUGAAUGUAUCGUAGAAAGUAUAAACAUAAGCUGAAGAGAAACAAGUUACUCACGACAACAAAAUUUAAAAACAGAGGAUAUAAUCAGAAUAAUGAACUUCUGUAAUCGACGUUGAAUGUAUUUAAAUGAUGUUAUGAGCGUAUGAAUCUUAUUCAAGGAAUACUUUCUCUGUCCACAUAUUGCUCCACUAAAUAUUCAGAGAAUGAAUGAGGUGGCACGACUCGUUCUACCAUAUUUUGACUGAAGAAGAACUUGCUAGAGUUCAUGAAUACAACUUUGACCAUCCAGGUGAGACUCUCUUUGAUAUAUAUAUUGUACGCAAUGUCACCUAAUUAAACUCAUGUGUGUCCAUCAAAUGACGUCCACACAAUUCAUAUAAACAGUGUCCACUAAAUUGCGUAUACAUAGACAAGAACCUAACCACCACUGACUUAUCUACUACCAACACAUCCACAACAUUUUUGUCUCACAUAAACAUGAACCUAACCACCAGAAGAUUAUAGUUGCAAAGAAUUGGUGUGUGUGUGUGCAGGGUAAGACACGUACAGUAUCAGUAUGGAGCUAUAUAGUUUGCACCCAAGAAAAAAAAAGAGGAGAUACAAGAUUAUAGUUGCAAAGAAUUGGUGUGUGUGUGUGCAGGGUAAGACACGUACAGUAUCAGUAUGGAGCUAUAUAGUUUGCACCCAAGAAAAAAAAAGAGGAGAUACAAGAUUAUAGUUGCAAAGAAUUGGUGUGUGUGUGUGCAGGGUAAGACACGUACAGUAUCAGUAUGGAGCUAUAUAGUUUGCACCCAAGAAAAAAAAAGAGGAGAUACAAGAUUAUAGUUGCAAAGAAUUGGUGUGUGUGUGUGCAGGGUAAGACACGUACAGUAUCAGUAUGGAGCUAUAUAGUUUGCACCCAAGAAAAAAAAAGAGGAGAUACAAGAUUAUAGUUGCAAAGAAUUGGUGUGUGUGUGUGCAGGGUAAGACACGUACAGUAUCAGUAUGGAGCUAUAUAGUUUGCACCCAAGAAAAAAAAAGAGGAGAUACAAGAUUAUAGUUGCAAAGAAUUGGUGUGUGUGUGUGCAGGGUAAGACACGUACAGUAUCAGUAUGGAGCUAUAUAGUUUGCACCCAAGAAAAAAAAAGAGGAGAUACAAGAUUAUAGUUGCAAAGAAUUGGUGUGUGUGUGUGCAGGGUAAGACACGUACAGUAUCAGUAUGGAGCUAUAUAGUUUGCACCCAAGAAAAAAAAAGAGGAGAUACAAGAUUAUAGUUGCAAAGAAUUGGUGUGUGUGUGUGCAGGGUAAGACACGUACAGUAUCAGUAUGGAGCUAUAUAGUUUGCACCCAAGAAAAAAAAAGAGGAGAUACAAGAUUAUAGUUGCAAAGAAUUGGUGUGUGUGUGUGCAGGGUAAGACACGUACAGUAUCAGUAUGGAGCUAUAUAGUUUGCACCCAAGAAAAAAAAAGAGGAGAUACAAGAUUAUAGUUACAAAGAAUUGGUGUGUGUGUGUGCAGGGUAAGACACGUACAGUAUCAGUAUGGAGCCUAAUACCUUCGUAGUCAGCGCAGGCCUCAUCGCAGGCACCAUCGCUGGGGCUAUCAUAAUCGUCACGGUUUGUAUAUGGCUUUGCUAUACCGCCGACCCAGACCAACUACGAGUUCGGCCCGAUUGUAGUCCGUGAUUUCUACUACACCUAUUUUUUAUGUUUGGUUUCUUUGUUUUGGAUAAGUUUUUUUUUUCUUUCAAGAUUAGUAUCUUAUAUAGAAUAACCAGAUUGUCAAUGCGACACUUCAAUAAUAUUAUUAUCUUCUUUUUUUGUUGGUUUAAUGGUAUUGUAACGCUAUUCUACAUAUUUAAGCGACUUUCAAUGGUUUCAUCAUUCGUUGCAGUGGUUACAUUACAUCACAUGAUUACUAUUAUACUAGUUGAGUUACUUAUUUGAUGCGAAUGCCUUUAUUCUAUGGAAAAAUUAAUCGUUAUAAUCAACAAGAAAAUCAAUAUGGCGAUACAUUGUUCCAACCUAAACUCAAGAUUUUCAGUGACAGAAAUAGAGAAACAAGACUUGGUUUUCUAAAAUCCCUAACGGUUGACCAACACAUACGAACCACAUAAGAAUUUUAUAGCGGUGGAAAUUCACCUCUUUCGGUUGUUUCUUGUGACCCACGUCAACUAAAGUCGUUAGGGUUGUUCAAUAAUCAUUUUCAUACCAUAUCAUGCCAUAUCCUUUUUUUCUUAUUGGGAUGUGAAAGUUUUAAGCACUAGUGAUAGAUAGAAGGAUGCAUAUUAGUUGCCGGAGAAUGUCAAAAUCCUAAGGAUGGUUGAUUGAUCCCCUAAGAACACACUAGAAGAAGGAAUCUGUAUUUUAUAAUGAUGUGGAAGGAAAGGAUGACAAGGAAUAAAGACACUUCUUCUUUUCUUUCAUAGAUACAUAAUCAUCUUCAUCACACAUAAUCAUUUUAGAGCUAAAGUAACCUAUACAACUUCCGUUUAUUACAGUACAGACACGAAUGAAGUAUACCAGAUAGUGUGGACAAAAACAAACAAGGGACAACAACAGAUGAUGGGUAAUUCAAAAGAAUCUAAAUCAUUUUCUACACAUUCAAAGCUUUGAUUUCGAGGUUAUGAUGAUGAUACUCCACAGCUUAAAGGGGAAGCUUUACUUUUACUUUACUUAACUUUUUGUUUUCUUCUGUACUUGAAGAAUUGAGAUUGGUAUGUAUGAUACAUGUCUUGCUCCUUUCACAAAAUGGUGCAUGUGCAUAUAACCGCCUUGGGUGCUUUAUCGACCUUCUUCUCUGUUCAAUCAAAACCGGUAUUCAAGUGUUAGUUACAAAGCAAAGACUCUCAGCUUCGGUCAUUUGAUCAAGUUUUUUGUAAAUCAUGGAUACAAAAUGUUUAUGGUUGGCAAACAAUUUGAGCUGUUCAUUGUCUAACAUUUUUGUUUAUGGUUGGCAAACAUUUUGUAAAUCGUGUAUACAACAAACCAGAAACUUAGGGAUCCUAGUCAUUGACUUAACUUGCUCAUGCAUUUACUAUUUAUAGUUAUCUUACUCUCACAAGCCAAACAAAACAAAAAUACUAUAGACUCUGAUGCAUUUUACUUAUUUAUCAUGACCCUAGUCACUGAUUAACUAGCUGUGUUAGGGAAUACACACUUGUUAUGAGCCUCAUGUAUGAGUAGAUGCAAAUGAUACCACAAGAAGUAAAAUUGAGCCACAAAACGAAUAUAACAAUCAAUGCAUGUGACAAGACAGAUGAAACAUAUUGAAGCUCUAAGCAAACAUAGACUCUAAGCAAGAGAGGUAAAAAAAAAAAAGGAGGAGAACACUUUACCUGUUUUAGUUUUGGCAAGAGAAGGCUGUACAACAACAUGCAUCACAGUGACUCCACCCGCAACCUCUCCAAAAGGUGUCUUACACUGACCAACAGUCUUGCUAUUCUCCAAUAUCUUACCCGAACUAAUCAACUUCACUUCGUUUAUCCCCUUCGGAACAACUGUUUUG